rnacentral:tRNA from 1 species
GCCGAGGUGGCGGAACUGGCAGACGCGCAGCCUUGAGGAGGCUGUACCGUAAGGUGUGGGAGUUCAACUCUCCCCCUCGGCA